UCCCCCCCUAAAUCUUUCUAGUUUCCUUUUUUCCUUUUUUUCUUCCUUCCUUCCAUCCAUCCUUCCAUCCUUCCAUCCUUCCAUCUUUCCUUCUCUAUAUGUUUGGAUGGAUGAAAACCAUCCAUCCAAACCCAUAUAUGCAAAGGAAAGGGAAGUGUCUCUUGAUUAAAAUCUCAAGGAAGGAAGGAAGGAAGGAAGGAAGGAAAGAAAGAAAGAAAGAAAGAAAGAAAGAAAGGGA